GUUGGUUUUUUACAUUUCAAACACGCUAUAUUAAAAAAAAUAUGAUGUACAUAGUUCAUAUUUAACAUCGUUCAGGUUGCUGUUCUUUAAAUGAAUUUUGAUUAGAGUUUCUGAAUGAGAUGCUGAAACAAUGUGAAAGUUGGGUAUUCUUUACUUUCAUGUGUUGUGAUGCAACAUAUCGGCACAUGGUGGUCAACUCUAAAAGGAAACACAGUUCCUGGUGUGAGUAAAUUUUUCACUAUAUGUCUUGACCUCAUGUUUGCUGGCGAAUACAUGCAAUUUAGCCUCAUUUGCUCGCUCCCGAAGUC